rnacentral:rRNA from 1 species
CGAAGGGUGCAGGCGUUACUCGGAAUUACUGGGCGUAAAGCGUGCGUAGGUGGUUCGUUAAGUCUGAUGUGAAAGCCCUGGGCUCAACCUGGGAAUGGCAUUGGAAACUGGCGACCUAGAGUGCGGUAGAGGGUAGUGGAAUUCCCGGUGCAGCAGUGAAAUGCGUAGAGAUCGGGAGGAACAUCUGUGGCGAAGGCGACUGCCUGGACCAGCACUGACACUGAGGCCACGAAAGCGUGGGGAGCAAACAGGAUUAGAUACCCUGGUAGUCCACGCCCUAAACGAUGCGAACUGGAUGUUGGGUGCAACUAGGCACUCAGUAUCGAAGCUAAACGCGUUAAGUUCGCCGCCUGGGGAGUACGGUCGCAAGGACUG